rnacentral:tRNA from 2 species
GCUCGGGUGGUGGAAUUGGUAGACACGCAAGCUUGAGGUGCUUGUGGGAGCAAUCCUGUGGGGGUUCAAGUCCCCCCUCGAGCA